CAGCGCCACGAGUGGCAAUCACAAUUAUUGGGCCUAAAGCGUUCGUAGCCGGUUUAAUAAAUCUUUUGUGAAAUCAUGGGGCUUAACUCCAUGCCGUGCAGGAGACACUAUUAGACUUGGAACCGGGAGGAGUCAGAAGUAUUCUGGGGGGAGCGGUAAAAUGUUGUAAUCCCCGGAGGACUACCUGUGGCGAAGGCGUCUGACUAGAACGGAUUCGACGGUGAGGAACGAAAGCUGGGGGAGCAAACCGGAUUAGAUACCCGAGUAGUCC
rnacentral:rRNA from 1 species